GUGUAUUUUAAACACAGAGUCACUUAUUACAACUUAAAACAACCAAGAGAGGACCCCGAAAGUAAUUACCAUGACGUAAAAUAUGUGCCUAUUACAAAUCUAAUUAACUGUACAAAGAUACACUAAUUAAUUAUACAAAGAUAUAGAUAUAUGAGAAACAGAACUCACAAACAAUGAUCAAGUGAGAUGGCUAAGAACAAACUAUCUAGAAAAAACAUGUGCAACAACCCGAAGAGACUUUUAACCCACUUUCUCACAUCAAGUAAAUCUACCAUUUACAAGUGAAGAAAGACACGAACUGAACCUCAUGUCCGCAAUGUAGGAACCAUUUACAGUACCAAGCUAGUGAUGACAAAUCUUUUAACCAUCUACCACAUGCAAUAGAAAAGUGAAAUAUAAUUUGCCAGCUUCUUCUUCAAAGAAGAAUAUCAAUCAUGUGGUCACCGUUGGUGUAUGUCACAACUCUGCUCCUCCUGGCAAAUUACAUCCAACAAAAGUAAGUAAGUUGGUUGGUAGUGAAUAGUACAGAUUAAGAGAAAUCAACAUACAACAAGAAAUCUACAUUUUGAAGAAAUCAAUAUACAACAAGAAUGUCGAGAUGGUUCAAGAAAUAUUUUGAUUAAUGGAUGAACAUCGUGUUAUAUUUGGAUAAGCAUUAGUGUUCUAUUUUGGGAGAGCUAACUUGUUGCAUUCCUACAAGGAAUUUCUCCUAGAAAUUUCAGAAAAAUACAAUGUUCAUCUCUGCUCUCAAGAGAAAUGGACUUCUCAAUAGUUUCAGAAACAUGCAGGAAUUAUAAUUGCUUGUGAAUCUCUCCAUAGAGGUGGAGAUGACAUAAGUAUUGUGAACUGAAAAACAAGUAAAUAUUUAUAGAGCUAAAUGGAUAGAUAAUUAUUUGUUGCAGACAAAUAAAUAACAACAUUAAAUUGUCGAGAAAUAUAAAUUAGGACUGCGUGCCCAAGCGAUGCCUAUAAGUACAAUUGGUCUGUCACUUUAGAAUUCAUCCACGAGAUUCAUACAUGUACUGCUAAACUGUAGUAGCAUGGAAACUUUUCUAGCUCACUUGUGUGCAUUAAAAGAAUCUUUAUUUUGCCACUAUACAAACGUUAGUCUUCAAGUGGAGCACAAAACAUAAAUAAUGUAACAACUAUGCAUCAAAGAAAUCAAUUACCAUCACUUGUCAUUCAUAAAAAAUAUAAAUCAUCUAUUGGGUUAGAGCACCGCAUGAACUGAGAAGACGAUUAAGCACCAAUCUCAUUGGUCAUUUGCCCGAAUUUUCAUUCGUCUACAAACAAUUACAUAUGACAAAAAAUAUUAAACAGGUUACUGAAACUCAUUACGCAUCUGAAACCAUUUAAAUUUCAGGAAACAAUGUAACAAGUAACAUCAUACAUUGCAAUGUGGGCCAUGAGAUUUCGCCAUCAUGAUUGAACCCUCACAUGUUGCUGUCAUUGCACACAUGAACAUGUGUUAGUUAUCGUAUAUUGCAGCCGGCAACAGAGCAUGAUAUUUUAAAUAGAGAGCUUCUUACACUGAUGUUCCACAGCACGCCACACCAGGAGCAGUAGCUCGGGCAUGCCCCGUCGCUGGACCUGUCAUACAAAAUGUUGC
rnacentral:lncRNA from 1 species